rnacentral:rRNA from 1 species
UACGUAGGGUGCAAGCGUUGUCCGGAAUUAUUGGGCGUAAAGAGCUCGUAGGCGGCUUGUCGCGUCGACUGUGAAAUCCCGCGGCUCAACUGCGGGUCUGCAGUCGAUACGGGCAGGCUAGAGUUCGGUAGGGGAGACUGGAAUUCCUGGUGUAGCGGUGAAAUGCGCAGAUAUCAGGAGGAACACCUGCGGUGUAGACGGCUUACUGGACCAUAACUGACGCUGAGGCACGAAAGCGUGGGUAGCAAACAGG